rnacentral:lncRNA from 1 species
AUGUUGGAGUGGAAAUCCCUGCAAGUGUUCAGCCACUUAAGGAUGUGGAAUUUGGGGACAGUUCAGUGGUGUUGGGUCAUGGCUGGAGCACAGGUGGAACACGAAGUAAAAAUUCCCGGGGAUUUUGGGAUUUUUGAGAUCCCCAAAAUCCUUCCCCAUUUCCCUCAGGAUUCUCCAAACCCUUCCCCAUUUCCCUCAGGAUUCUCCAAACCCUUCCCCAUUUCCCUCAGGAUUCUCCAAACCCUUCCCCAUUUCCCUCAGGAUUCUCCAAACCCUUCCCCAUUUCCCUCAGGAUUCUCCAAACCCUUCCCCAUUUCCCUCAGGAUUCUCCAAACCCUUCCCCAUUUCCCUCAGGAUUCUCCAAACCCUUCCCCAUUUCCCUCAGGAUUCUCCAAACCCUUCCCCAUUUCCCUCAGGAUUCUCCAAACCCUUCCCCAUUUCCCUCAGGAUUCUCCAAACCCUUCCCCAUUUCCCUCAGGAUUCUCCAAACCCUUCCCCAUUUCCCUCAGGAUUCUCCAAACCCUUCCCCAUUUCCCUCAGGAUUCUCCAAACCCUUCCCCAUUUCCCUCAGGAUUCUCCAAACCCUUCCCCAUUUCCCUCAGGAUUCUCCAAACCCUUCCCCAUUUCCCUCAGGAUUCUCCAAACCCUUCCCCAUUUCCCUCAGGAUUCUCCAAACCCUUCCCCAUUUCCCUCAGGAUUCUCCAAACCCUUCCCCAUUUCCCUCAGGAUUCUCCAAACCCUUCCCCAUUUCCCUCAGGAUUCUCCAAACCCUUCCCCAUUUCCCUCAGGAUUCUCCAAACCCUUCCCCAUUUCCCUCAGGAUUCUCCAAACCCUUCCCCAUUUCCCUCAGGAUUCUCCAAACCCUUCCCCAUUUCCCUCAGGAUUCUCCAAACCCUUCCCCAUUUCCCUCAGGAUUCUCCAAACCCUUCCCCAUUUCCCUCAGGAUUCUCCAAACCCUUCCCCAUUUCCCUCAGGAUUCUCCAAACCCUUCCCCAUUUCCCUCAGGAUUCUCCAAACCCUCCCCAUUUCCCUCAGGACUUUCCCAACCCCACCAAUCCUCGUUUUUCCCAAUUUCCCCCUCUCCAGCCCCAUUUUUGGGCCGUUUGUUUUUCAGCUCCCACUCCCCUGGCACUGCUGUCCCUGCCUGUGCCAGGCUCCGCUCUUGGCUGA